GGGGUGGUAGCUCAAUUGGUUAGAGCUUUGCACUGUCACUGCAAAGGUUGCGGGUCCGAGUCCCGUCCAUCCCGCCA
rnacentral:tRNA from 1 species